CCUACGGGGCGCAGCAGUAGGGAAUAUUGCUCAAUGGGGGAAACCCUGAAGCAGCAACGCCGCGUGGAGGAUGAAGGUUUUCGGAUUGUAAACUCCUUUUGUUAGAGAGGAUAAUGACGGUAUCUAACGAAUAAGCACCGGCUAACUCCGUGCCAGCAGCCGCGGUAAUACGGAGGGUGCCAGCGUUACUCGGAAUCACUGGGCGUAAAGAGCGCGUAGGCGGGAUAGCAAGUCAGAUGUGAAAUCCUAUGGCUUAACCAUAGAACUGCAUUUGAAACUGUUAUUCUAGAGUAUGGGAGAGGUAGGUGGAAUGCUUGGUGUAGGGGUAAAAUGCGUAGAGAUCAAGAGGAAUACUCAUUGCGAAGGCGACCUGCUAGAACAUAACUGACGCUGAUGCGCGAAAGCGUGGGGAGCAAACAGGAUUAGAUACCCUGGUAGUC
rnacentral:rRNA from 1 species